rnacentral:rRNA from 1 species
UGGGGAAUAUUGCACAAUGGGGGAAACCCUGAUGCAGCGACGCCGCGUGAACGAAGAAGGUAUUCGUAUCGUAAAGUUCUGUCCUAUGGGAAGAUAAUGACAGUACCAUAGAAGAAAGCUCCGGCUAAAUACGUGCCAGCAGCCGCGGUAAUACGUAUGGAGCGAGCGUUGUCCGGAAUUAAUGGGCGUAAAGGGUACGCAGGCGGUUUAAUAAGUCGAAUGUUAAAGAUCGGGGCUCAACCCCGUAAAGCAUUGGAAACUGAUAAACUUGAGUAGUGGAGAGGAAAGUGGAAUUCCUAGUGUAGUGGUGAAAUACGUAGAUAUUAGGAGGAAUACCAGUAGCGAAGGCGACUUUCUGGACACAAACUGACGCUGAGGUACGAAAGCGUGGGGAGCAAACAGG